rnacentral:rRNA from 1 species
AGAGUUUGAUCCUGGCUCAGAAUCAACGCUGGCGGCGUGCCUAACACAUGCAAGUCGCACGAGAAAGGGACUUCGGUCCUGAGUACAAUGGCGCACGGGUGAGUAACACGUGAAUCAUCUACCUUCGAGUGGGGAAUAACUGAGAGAAAUCUUAGCUAAUACCGCAUAACACUUACGAGUCAAAGCAGCAAUGCGCUGGAAGAGGGGGUCGCGGCCGAUUAGCUAGUUGGCGGGGUAAUGGCCCACCAAGGCAGUGAUCGGUAUCCGGCCUGAGAGGGCGCACGGACACACUGGAACUGAAACACGGUCCAGACUCCUACGGGAGGCAGCAGUGGGGAAUUUUGCGCAAUGGGGGAAACCCUGACGCAGCAACGCCGCGUGGAGGAUGAAGUCUCUUGGGACGUAAACUCCUUUCGAUCGGGACGAUAAUGACGGUACCGGAAGAAGAAGCCCCGGCUAACUUCGUGCCAGCAGCCGCGGUAAUACGAGGGGGGCAAGCGUUGUUCGGAAUUAUUGGGCGUAAAGGGUGCGUAGGCGGUCCGGCAAGUCUUGUGUGAAAUCUUCAGGCUCAACUUGAAGUCUGCAUAAGAAACUGCCGGGCUUGAGUAUGGGAGAGGUGAGUGGAAUUUCCGGUGUAGCGGUGAAAUGCGUAGAUAUCGGAAGGAACACCUGUGGCGAAAGCGGCUCACUGGACCAUAACUGACGCUGAGGCACGAAAGCUAGGGGAGCAAACAGGAUUAGAUACCCUGGUAGUCC